UCCAGACUCCUACGGGAGGCAGCAGUGGGGAAUAUUGCACAAUGGGGGAAACCCUGAUGCAGCGACGCCGCGUGAGCGAUGAAGUAUUUCGGUAUGUAAAGCUCUCUCAGCAGGGAAGAAGAUGACGGUACCUGACUAAGAAGCCCCGGCUAACUACGUGCCAGCAGCCGCGGUAAUACGUAGGGGGCAAGCGUUAUCCGGAUUUACUGGGUGUAAAGGGAGCGUAGACGGCGAUGCAAGCCAGAUGUGAAAGGCGGGGGCCCAACCCCUGGACUGCUUUGGAAACUGUAUGGCUGGAGUGCAGGAGAGGUAAGUGGAAUUCCUAGUGUAGCGGUGAAAUGCGUAGAUAUUAGGAGGAACACCAGUGGCGAAGGCGGCUUUCUGGACUGUAACUGACGUUGAGGCACGAAAGUGUGGGGAGCAAACAGGAUUAGAUACCCCCGUAAU
rnacentral:rRNA from 1 species